rnacentral:SRP_RNA from 1 species
GAAGGCUGGCGGUGGGCGUGCCCCUCGCCAACCCGGUCAGGUCCGGAAGGAAGCAGCCGUAACGAGUUUCGGCGCGGGUCAUUGCCAGUCUUCUUA